GCAGCCUGAUGCAGCCAUGCCGCGUGUGUGAAGAAGGCCUUCGGGUUGUAAAGCACUUUCAGUCAGGAGGAAAGGUUAGUAGUUAAUACCUGCUAGCUGUGACGUUACUGACAGAAGAAGCACCGGCUAACUCCGUGCCAGCAGCCGCGGUAAUACGGAGGGUGCGAGCGUUAAUCGGAAUUACUGGGCGUAAAGCGUACGCAGGCGGUUUGUUAAGCGAGAUGUGAAAGCCCCGGGCUCAACCUGGGAACUGCAUUUCGAACUGGCAAACUAGAGUGUGAUAGAGGGUGGUAGAAUUUCAGGUGUAGCGGUGAAAUGCGUAGAGAUCUGAAGGAAUACCGAUGGCGAAGGCAGCCACCUGGGUCAACACUGACGCUCAUGUACGAAAGCGUGGGGAGCAAACAGGAUUAGAUACCCUGGUAGUCCACGCCGUAAACGAUGUCUACUAGAAGCUCGGAGCCUCGGCUCUGUUUUUCAAAGCUAACGCAUUAAGUAGACCGCCUGGGGAGUACGGCCGCAAGGUUAAAACUCAAAUG
rnacentral:rRNA from 1 species